rnacentral:rRNA from 1 species
GAAAUGCAAGUCGAGCGAUGAAGGAGGCUUCGGGCCUCCCGAGUUAGCGGCGAACGGUCGCGUAACACGUAAGCAAUCUGGCCCCAAAGUUUGGGAUAGCCCGGCGAAAGUCGGAUUAAUACCGGAAUGUGGAUAUGUCCUCGCAUGUGGAUAUAUCUAAAGGCAGCGAUGCGCUUUGGGAUGAGCUUGCGGCCUAUCAGCUUGAUGGCGGGGUAACGGCCUGCCAUGGCGACGACGGGUAGCUGGUCUGAGGGGAUGGUCAGCCGGACUGGGACUGAGAUACGGCCCAGACUCCUACGGGGGGCAGCAAUUAAGAAUCUUGCGCAAUGGGGGCAACCCGUGACGCAAGCGACGUCGCGUGAAUGAUGAAGUCUCUCGGGAUGUAAAGUUCUUUUGUCAAGGAAGAGUAUUAGACGGUACUUGACGAAUAAGCCCCGGCUAACUACGUGCCAGCCGCUGC